UGGGGAAUAUUGCACAAUGGGGGAAACCCUGAUGCAGCGACGCCGCGUGAGCGAAGAAGGUUUUCGAAUCGUAAAGCUCUGUCCUAUGAGAAGAUAAUGACGGUACCCUGUGAGGAAGCCCCGGCUAACUACGUGCCAGCAGCCGCGGUAAUACGUAGGGGGCUAGCGUUAUCCGGAUUUACUGGGCGUAAAGGGUGCGUAGGUGGUCUUUCAAGUCGGUGGUUAAAGGCUACGGCUCAACCCCCGUCCGCUUCCGAUACCGGCAGACUUGAGUUUGGUAGGGGAAGGUGGAAUUCCUAGUGUAGCGGUGGAAUGCGCAGAUAUUAGGAAGAACACCGGUGGCGAAGGCGGCCUUCUGGGCCAUAACUGACGCUGAGGAGCGAAAGCUAGGGGAGCGAACAGG
rnacentral:rRNA from 1 species